ncrna:unclassified sequences malK-I RNA
UCGGUCGGAACCGGCGCACUCCACUUCAUGCGCCGGCAACGGCUGAAAAUAAAGGAGGCAAUCAUCCCUCGGCUUGGGGUGCGGCAGUGUGGAGACCUGUCGCAAUGCGUGUCCGGCAUUGCACGGAACGCGAGACGGUUCGUUGGAGAAGUCCGGGGCCGUUAAAGCCAGACGCAGUAUGGCA